GUGAAAUUGUUGAAAGGGAAGCGCUUGCAGCCAGACGUGCCCGUAGUUGCUCAUCGGGGGUUCUCCCCCGUGUACUCUUCUAUGGGCAGGCCAGCAUCAGUCCGGGCGGUUGGAGAAAGACCUGUGUCAUGUAGCUGUUUUCGGGCAGUGUUAUAGGGCAGGUGGAAUGCAACCAGCCUGGACUGAGGUCCGCGCAUCUGCUAGGAUGCUGGCGUAAUGGCUGUAAGCGGCCCGUCUUGAAACACGGACCAAGGAGUCUAACAUCUAUGCGAGUGUUUGGGUGUCAAGCCCGAGCGCGUAAUGAAAGUGAACGGAGGUGGGAACCUUUUAGGUGCACCAUCGACCGAUCCUGAUGUCUUCGGAUGGAUUUGAGUAAGAGCAUAGCUGUUGGGACCCGAAAGAUGGUGAACUAUGCCUGAAUAGGGUGAAGCCAGAGGAAACUCUGGUGGAGGCUCGCAGCGGUUCUGACGUGCAAAUCGAUCGUCAAAUUUGGGCAUAGGGGCGAAAGACUAAUCGAACUAUCUAGUAGCUGGUUCCUGCCGAAGUUUCCCUCAGGAUAGCAGUAACGUUUUCAGUUUUAUGAGGUAAAGCGAAUGAUUAGAGGCCUGGGGGUUGAAACAACCUUCACCUAUUCUCAAACUUUAAAUAUGUAAGAAGUCCUUGUUUCUUAAUUGAACGUGGACAUUUGAAUGUAUCG
rnacentral:rRNA from 1 species